GACCUAUGGUGUAAUGGUAGCAUCGCAGAUUUUGGUUCUGUUGGUUGAGGUUCAAAUCCUUAUAGGUCUA
rnacentral:tRNA from 1 species